GCCCUGCUGUCGCAAUGGUAGCGAGCCAGACUUCUAAUCUGGAGGCUGCGGGUUCGAGUCCCGCGUAGGGCU
rnacentral:tRNA from 3 species